UCCUACGGGAGGCAGCAGUGGGGAAUAUUGGGCAAUGGCCGCAAGGCUGACCCAGCGACGCCGCGUGUGGGAGGACGCCCUUCGGGGUGUAAACCACUGUCAGGGGGGACGAAUGGCGGCGCGGUGAAUAGCCGUUCCGAUUGACGGUACCUCCAGAGGAAGCGCCGGCUAACUCUGUGCCAGCAGCCGCGGUAAUA
rnacentral:rRNA from 1 species